AGUGAACGCUGGCGGUAGGCCUAACACAUGCAAGUCGAACGGCAGCACAGUAAGAGCUUGCUCUUACGGGUGGCGAGUGGCGUACGGGUGAGGAAAACAACGGAACCUAUUUUUUGGUGGGGGUUAAGGAAGGGAAACUUACUCUAAUACCGCAUCCGCCCUAGGGUUGAAAGCGGUGGAACUUUGCACCUUGUGGGAUUGAACGAGCGGCUGUCGGAUUGGUUAGUUGGCGGGUUAAAGGCCAACCAAGUGGAGGAUCCGUAGCUGGUGUGAGAGGAUGAUCAGCCACCCUGGAACUGAGACACGGUCCAGACUCCUACGGGAGGCAGCAGUGGGGAAUAUUGGACAAUGGGCGCAAGCCUGAUCCAGCCAUACCGCGUGGGUGAAGAAGGCCUUCGGGUUGUAAAGCCCUUUUGUUGGGAAAGAAAAGCAGCAGGUUAAUACCCCGCUGUUCUGACGGUACCCAAAGAAUAAGCACCGGCUAACUUCGUG
rnacentral:rRNA from 1 species